UGGGGAAUUUUGGACAAUGGGCGAAAGCCUGAUCCAGCAAUGCCGCGUGUGUGAAGAAGGCCUUCGGGUUGUAAAGCACUUUUGUCCGGAAAGAAAUCCUUGGCUCUAAUACAGUCGGGGGAUGACGGUACCGGAAGAAUAAGCACCGGCUAACUACGUGCCAGCAGCCGCGGUAAUACGUAGGGUGCAAGCGUUAAUCGGAAUUACUGGGCGUAAAGCGUGCGCAGGCGGUUUGCUAAGACCGAUGUGAAAUCCCCGGGCUCAACCUGGGAACUGCAUUGGUGACUGGCAGGCUAGAGUAUGGCAGAGGGGGGUAGAAUUCCACGUGUAGCAGUGAAAUGCGUAGGAGAUGUGGAGGAAUACCGAUGGCGAAGGCAGCCCCCUGGGCCAAUACUGACGCUCAUGCACGAAAAGCGUGGGGAGCAAAACAGGAUUAGAUACCCUGGUAGUCCACGCCCUAAAACGAUGUCAACUAGUUGUUGGGGAUUCAUUUCCUUAGUAACGUAGCUAACGCGUUGAAAGUUGACCGCCUGGGGGAGUACGGUCGCAAAGAUUAAAAAC
rnacentral:rRNA from 1 species